rnacentral:rRNA from 1 species
UGAUCCAGCCAUACCGCGUGGGUGAAGAAGGCCUUCGGGUUGUAAAGCCCUUUUGUUGGGAAAGAAAUCCAGCCGGCUAAUACCUGGUUGGGAUGACGGUACCCAAAGAAUAAGCACCGGCUAACUUCGUGCCAGCAGCCGCGGUAAUACAAAGGGUGCAAGCGUUACUCGGAAUUACUGGGCGUAAAGCGUGCGUAGGUGGUCGUUUAAGUCUGUUGUGAAAGCCCUGGGCUCAACCUGGGAACUGCAGUGGAAACUGGACGACUAGAGUGUGGUAGAGGGUAGCGGAAUUCCUGGUGUAGCAGUGAAAUGCGUAGAGAUCAGGAGGAACAUCCAUGGCGAAGGCAGCUACCUGGACCAACACUGACGCUGAGGCACGAAAGCGUGGGGAGCAAACAGGAUUAGAUACCCUGGUAGUCCACGCCCUAAACGAUGCAAACUGGAUGUUGGGUGCAAUUUGGCACGCACUAUCGAAGCUAACGCGUUAAGUUCGCCGCCGGGGGAGUACGGUCGCAAGACUGAAACUCAGGGAAUUGACGGGGGCCCGCACAAGCGGUGGAGUAUGUGGUUUAAUUCGAUGCAGCGGCGAGAACCUUACCUGGCCUUGACAUGUGCAGGACUUUCCGGAGAUGGAUUGCUGCCUUCAGGAACUCGAACACGGAUGCUGCAGGGAUGUCGUCAGUCUGGUCCUGAGAUGUUCGUGUUAAGUCCCGCAACGAGCGCAACCGUUGUCCUUAUCUGCCAGGACGUACCUGCUGAAACUCUCACGAUACCGUGCUGUGACAAAGCAUUACGAUGUGCUCUAUGACAUCCUGUCAUCACGGUUCUCCACUGCCAGUGCUACGUACGAGACCACAGGUGUUCAGACAGACGUAUACGAGCCCGCUACCGUGCUCUAUGCCCAGAACUUCUCAUACUCACUGCUGACUCGCAUUCUGAUACUCGAGUCUGCUGAGCUCGAAAUCGCUCAGUAGUUGCAUGAUCUGCGUAGCUUCAG